rnacentral:rRNA from 1 species
ACAGCAGCCGCGGUAAUACGUAGGGUGCGAGCGUUAAUCGGAAUUACUGGGCGUAAAGGGUGCGCAGGCGGUUUCGCAAGUCAGGCGUGAAAGCCCCGGGCUUAACCUGGGAAUGGCGCUUGAAACUACGGGACUGGAGUAUGGCAGAGGGAGGUGGAAUUCCACGUGUAGCGGUGAAAUGCGUAGAGAUGUGGAGGAACACCGAUGGCGAAGGCAGCCUCCUGGGCCAAUACUGACGCUCAUGCACGAAAGCGUGGGGAGCAAACAGGAUUAGAUACCCUGGUAGUCCACGCCCUAAACGAUGAUGACUAGUUGUUGGAGGAGUUAAAUCCUUUAGUAACGCAGCUAACGCGAGAAGUCAUCCGCCUGGGGAGUACGGUCGCAAGAUUAAAACUUAAAGGAAUUGGCGGGGGAC